rnacentral:rRNA from 1 species
ACGGUUGUAGCGAUACAAUAGUGGCGCACGGGUGCGUAACACGUAUGCAACCUACCUUAUAGACGGGGAUAGCCUUUGGAAACGGAGAUUAAUACCCGAUAGUACUAUUGACUGGCAUCAGUUAAUAUUUAAAGAUUUAUCGCUAUAAGCUGGGCAUGCGUCCAAUUAGUUAGUUGGUUAGGUAACGGCUGACCAAGACGAUGAUUGGUAGGGGAACUGAGAGGUUAAUCCCCCACACUGGCACUGAGAUACGGGCCAGACUCCUACGGGAGGCAGCAGUAGGGAAUAUUGGGCAAUGGAGGGAACUCUGACCCAGCCAUGCCGCGUGCAGGACGAAGGAGCUAUGCUCUGUAAACUGCUUUAGCAGGGGAAGAAAAGGCGUCUGCGGACGAGAUUGACGGUACCCUGAGAAUAAGCACCGGCUAACUACGUGCCAGCAGCCGCGGUAAUACGUAGGGUGCAAGCGUUGUCCGGAUUUAUUGGGUUUAAAGGGUGCGUAGGCGGCUUUAUAAGUCAGUGUUUAAAGCACAUAGCUCAACUAUGGAACUGGCAUUGAUACUGUAGAGCUUGAGUAGAAACGGGGCAGGCGGAAUUUAUGGUGUAGCGGUGAAAUGCAUAGAUACCAUAAAGAACACCGAUAGCGAAGGCAGCUUGCCAGGAUCUAACUGACGCUGAGGCACGAAAGCGUGGGGAUCAAACAGGAUUAGAUACCCUGGUAGUCCACGCCGUANACGAUGAUUACUGGUUGUUGGCGAUAGAUAGUCAGCGACUGAGCGAAAGCAUUAAGUAAUCCACCUGGGGAGUACGCCCGCAAGGGUGAAACUCAAAGGAAUUGACGGGGGUCCGCACCAGCGGUGGAGCAUGUGGUUUAAUUCGAUGAUACGCGAGGAACCUUACCCGGGCUAGAAUGUGA